UCGGUUUUGGAGUUUCUGUGGACCGACGAUAUUUUGUUCGUCACCAAUUUGUCGUUUCGAAAACCAUCCACGAAUUGCUGCACCGAUUCCACCGUUAUCUCAGCACCGUCCUCCAUCACCGCGUAUAUUCCUCGAGAAACAAAUCGGUUGCACCUGAGAUAAUCAACUCGGCUGCUCGUCAUGAUUUUCGAACAUUUCUGGGACUCACGUCUAGGGCGAUGUAAAACUGAAGAGUUCCAUCAGGAUCGUCGUAAUUGGGAUCGUAAUCGGGUCUCUCUCGUCUGUAAGACUCAGCGGCCGGCAACAAAACGCUUUCUCCGAAAUGGACCUCGCUAUCGUCGCCCUCUGAAAAUGAAUAAAUCGUCAAACGUA